GUAGUCAUAUGCUUGUCUCAAAGAUUAAGCCAUGCAUGUCUAAGUAUAAGCAAUUAUACAGCGAAACUGCGAAUGGCUCAUUAUAUAAGUUAUCGUUUAUUUGAUAGUGCCUACCUACUCGGAUAACCGUGGUAAUUCUAGAGCUAAUACAUGCUAAAAAUCCCGACUUCGGAAGGGAUGUAUUUAUUAGAUUAAAAACCAAUGCCCUCCGGGGCUCACUGGUGAUUCAUGAUAACUUCUCGAAUCGCACGGCCUUGCGCCGGCGAUGGUUCAUUCAAAUUUCUUCCCUAUCAACUUUCGAUGUUUGGGUAUUGGCCAAACAUGGUUGCAACGGGUAACGGGGAAUA
rnacentral:rRNA from 1 species